UCACCGCGUUGCCGCGUCCUCGCGCCUGCGCUGUGGAGCCGCUCCAGGCAAAUGACGGAGACGGGUGGCUGCCUCAUCUGAAAGGGACUGGACCAGAGCGGGCGCGUCGCGGUGACUUCCGCUCCUGCGCCGCGGGUCUUCGCGAGUGUGUGCCCGCUGCUCUCUGGGGCCUGUAACAGAGAGAGCUCUGUCUACACCGGAAGGGGUGGGCGAAACAAGCUGCUGCAUCCUGCGGGCCGUGUCACCGGGGCUGAGGGACGCUGGUACUACGUCUCCUGAGGCAGCGAGUGCGGCGGACUGAGGGUCGUGGCUGGUCAGAUUCUCGGCCCGCAGGGUCGGAUCAGUCGCCCCCGCAGUUGUCCAGAGACUGUCGCUUGCAGAGAGCGAGUUUCUUGUGCGGCCAGUUUGCUUAAAAUUUAGUGACAUUUCCCCUUAGCCCGCGGUAACGUCACCCACACAGCUGACCGAAGACUGCCGGAAUAUGGAUCAGAAACUUUCACAGUUGAUAGAGGAGCUCACAACUUCAGGAGAAUCCCAACUCAAUGCUCAGAAAAUGAAGGAACUGAAGAAAAUUUGCAAGAAUUCCUCGAGCUCACACUGGGCACAGAUAGUGACCGUCCCCUGCCACCCCCUCGGGAGGCAGCUCAGAGGCUAAGGCAGGCAGCCAUGCAAGCUGUGGAAGGUUGGAAUGAGAAGUUUGGGCAGGCCUAUAAGAAGCUAGCCUUGGGCUACCACUUCCUAAAACACACCAAAAAGGUAGAUUUUCGGGAUAUAAAUGUUAGGACUGUGGCAGAAAGGAAGCGAGAAGAGGAGAAGCAGAAGCACCUGGAUAAAAUCCACAGAGAAAGUGCAGACCGGGCUAAGAGGGAAAUGGAAGAAAUGUAUGAUGAAAUUGAAUGCUGCCUGACAGAAGUGGAGAACUGCUUUAAGCUGCUGGUGCCCUUGGAUUUUGUACCAUGCCCAGAGGAUAAAUUCUUUGGUGAAGCGUCUAGCAUGACAGAGGGCUAUGCUCCUUGCCCCUUGAGCCCGGACCUGGCCACUCCCCGUGAGUCUGGUCUCUCUGGACCCCAGGAUGAAGAGCAGCCAUGCUGUAGCAAGGACCUGGUUGCCUCUGCAUACCAUGUAGGAUCUGUUGUUGGUCUGAAGGCACUACCCCAAACAGCCAUGAAAGACUCCUCCAGGGAUGAGGACGAACCCAGCGACCCGGAUGAUUUCCUGCGGAGCCAUGGACUGGGUUCCCACAAGUACACGCUGGAUGUUGAAGUCCCCUCAGAUGGUCUGAAGGUUCAGGAGAAUGAAGACAACCUUGCUGUGCUCCAUGCUGCUCGGGACUCGCUCAAACUCAUCCAGAACAAGUUUCUGCCAACUGUGUGCUCCUGGGUCCAGCGGUUUACCCGUGCAGGGACCUACAGUGCACAUUUAAAACAGGCCAUUGACCUGAAAAUGGAACUGGAACUUGCCCUGAAGAAGUAUGAAGAACUGAACAUUGAGCCUGGGAGAGGACAGAGGAGCAGGACAGAAGCACUGGAGGACAGUGAGGAUGAGGAUCAGGACUUUGUGGAGGUCCCAGAGAAAGAGGGUUAUGAGCCUCGAAUCCCUGACCAUCUACGAGCUGAAUAUGGGCUGGAGCCAAAGGCCCCACUGAAGACUCUGGAGAAAGGUACAGCUGUAUGUAAGUUACAGGAGAGGACCAGGAUGAGAAGAGAAGAGGAGGCCUCAGACCCCACCUCUGCAGCUGCCCAGAUGUUGCGGCUCCAGGACUGCUUAUCAUCUCCCUCUCCCUCCUCUACCAGGUGACUCUAGAUGUCCCAUGUCACUGGGCCCACAGCCUAGUACUGCCACCACCUGUCAGAAGCACUGGCUGGUAUGAACAGGUUGCCCAAGAACCCUCCUUUGAGAGGUAUCCUGGAAUGUGUGUAGCCCUAGCCAAGUACCCCACCUGCUAAUGUGGGGCAUGGUGCUUAGCUGGGCCUGUAGCAGCCCUCUGGAGAUCCCGUAGCCAAACCAUAUUCUUGAAGGAAAUGUCAGGUGACCUCUAAACAGGUUCACAUCACAGAUCAGAGCCAGUAUUCAGCAGGGCCAGGUCGUUUGCUGGACAUCAGCAGCCAACCUGACAGCUCAGGCCCAAUGUAGUAUAUUAAUGCUGAUCCCAGGCUUCUGAACUGCACUGGGAUGUGGAAGGGAAAGGCAAGUAGCCACAUAAGGAAUGGGUAGCCCACAUGUACUGAUCUGUUUUCAGGGUACUUCCUGGGCCAGAGGAAGCCCAGAAGCAAGCAGAGCGAGCCCGAGCACCCAUUGUACCCUUCGGAGUGGACCUGUGUUACUGGGGCCAGGAGCAGCUAACAGCUGGAAAGAUUCUUAAAUCUGACUCUCAACACCGCUUCUGGAAACCCAGCGAGGUGGAGGAAGAGGUGGACAGUGCCCAUGUUUCUGAGAUGCUCCAUAGCCGACACAUUACCUUUUCAGGGACGUUUGAGCCUGUGCAGCACAAGUGCCGGGCCCUGAGGCCUAAUGGCAGGCUCUGCGAGCGCCAGGAUCGACUGAAGUGCCCAUUCCAUGGGAAGAUCAUCCCCAGAGAUGACAAGGGGCAGCCUCUCAACCCAGAAGACAGAGCCCGUGAACAAAGGCAGCAGCUUCAGCGGCAGCAGGCACAUCCAGAUUGGCAGGACCCUGAGUUUCUGAAGGACGUGGAAGCAGCCACAGGGGUGGACCUCGGUUCAUCCAGGUCCAGCAAGAAAGGCAAAGGGAAAAAGAAGAAGCACCCUAACCUCACGGAUCUGCGAGAGCGCACCAACACCGCCCGGGCCCGCCUUGAGAAGAAGGUCUUUGCCAAGGCAGCCGUGCAGAGAGUAGUUGCUGCCAUGAACCAGAUGGACCAGAAGAAACACGAGAAGUUUGCAAACCAAUUUAAUUAUGCGCUGAAGUAAAAGGGUGUGGGUGUGCUGAAUAUGCUGUGGUCCCCUUUGGCCGUCAGCUCUUCUCCGUUCGUUAGCUUACUAGGAUAGGAAGGAGAAUAGACUUAAGUCUGAGUAGAAUCAGAGCUUGUUUUUUCUGUAUGUAACAAUGUAGUGAUGCAUUAAAAUACUCUCCAGGAGGCCAGGGGAUAUGGUUUAGUGGUGAGGCCAGGGUUUGAUUCCCAACCAUUUUAACCACACAUGUGGUACCUCACCUGUAAUCCCAGCACUUGGACAUAAACAGGACCUGAAUCCUAGGCCAGUAUGGAUAACAGAGCAAGACUGCUUGAGAAACAAGAACAAAAAGCCAGAUGAGGUGACGCACACCUGUAAUUUUUACACUUAACAGGCAGGGCAGGAAGAUCAAUACAAGUUCAAAGCUAACCUAGUUGCCAGGCAUGGUAGGCACAUCUUUAAUCCCAGCACUCAGAAGGCAAGGCAGGUGGAUCUCUGAGUUUGAGGCCAGGCUGUUCUACAGAGUGAGUUCCAGGACAGCCAGGGCUACACAGAGAAACCCUGUCUUUAAAACAAACAAACAGCUAAGCUAGUCUAAGUUGUAAAUUCUAAGCCAGCCAAACUUACAUAAGCAGAGUAUGUCUCUGAGGGAAAAAAAUAUCCCUUCAGGAUGACGUACCUGCAUUGGAGUUGGAUAGGGGCAGGCACUCCAUCUGGCCAGCCCUUGGGCAGUAAGUGUGUCCCUAGUGGUGCUAUGUACUUUAUGAUGCCUUCAGCAAUCCACCCUUUCAUGCAUAUGCUGUUUAAUACACAUGUCCAGCUCCUGGCACCACUCUGGACCAGGUGUGUUGAGCCCUAACUCACAUACCAUGUAGUCACCCAGGUUAUGCACAGUGUAUAACAAGUGACUCCACUGGCUUCCAGAACUUUAGUGUUCAGACAAACUGCCUGACCACCUCGAAGCCCGCUUUCUCUUUCCAUGCCUAUGCAUUUAGAGUAAUUGGGUCUGCGGCUUUUGUUUUUGUUUUGAGAUGUGGUCUCUUUAUGUAGCUCUGGCAGUCUUAGAGCCCACAGUGUAGACCAGGCUGGUCUCCAACUCAGAGAUCCUCCUGCCUCUGCCUCUUCAGUAUUGAGAUUAAGGGCGUGUACGAUGGCUCCUGGCUGAGUAUGCCCUUCUGUUCCAGCUUCUUUGCCUUUGAAGUUUCUUCCAUGUUGUGAUAGCAGUCCUUCAGUCCUGCUUCUUACACACACGGACCUCAGCAGAGGACAAGGGAGGUGGCUCAGCAGGUAAAGCACUUGCAUGUAAUUAUGAGGACUGAGUCCAUAUAAAAGUCAAGUGGUUAUGGUAAUCUGCUUGUAAUCCUGCCCUUGGUGAGAGGAGACAGGAUCUCUGGGGCAAACUCAGUAAGGAGACUAGCCAAAAUCAGUGCAUUCUGGAUUCAGCAAGAGACUCCGCCUCUGUAAAUAGAGUGGAGAACAGUGAAGGGAAACACUCAACUACAACCUUUGGCCUAUAAUAUGAAAAUUCACAUAUGCCCAUAGACAUCUGCCCACACAUAGGUAAACACACACACACACAAAAUCACAGUGAAUGGAGUCAUAUUUUGUCAUUGCCACACCCACCCUCUCAUUUGAGACAUGGUCUCUCUUUGGAACCCUGACUGUCCGGUAACUCAUUUUGUAGAUCACGCUGGCCUCCAAUUCAGAGAUCCUCCUGCUUCUGCCUCCCAAGCCCCGGGACUAAAGGCGCCACCAUGGCCUGUCUCCAUGGAUUUGUUAUUGAUGUUUGGUCUGUUCCUACCUUAGGGCUACCGUGAAUAUCUGUGCUUUUUUGUGUGUGGACAACUGUUUCUGUACAUCACCGAUGCGUAUAGUAACCUCCUUGUGAGGGGCUAAGCUGUUGGAUGGUGGCUGCACCAUUUACACUCACUCUGCUCUGCUUCCUGAGGGCUUCAUGCCAUCACUGGUGUCUUUGUUUCUUUUGCUUUUCUGAGAAUUCUAUACAAGAGGACUGUGCUCACAUCAUUUCCACCUCUCCUGCCUUCUCCAGGUUCUCCCAUGCCCUUUUUUCAAAUUCAUGAUCUCUUCUUUGUCAUCACAUAUGAAGACAGUUGCUGUUAUCUUUAGCAGUCAUUCUCACCGUCAUGUUCUGGGAGGCAGCUAAGGGCAACAACAUUCACCUAUGUCAUUUUGAUAGUCUCUUAACUCCCUGGCCACAACUUAGGAGAUUUCCUGUUCGUAUACAUGGACUUUUGUUAAAUAGUGUCUACUUAAGGAUUUUUUUAAAAUCACAUGAUUAUCUCAAUAGAUGCAGAAAACACCUUUGACAAAAUCCAAUAUAAUAAAAUAAUAAAAGUCCUAGAGAGACUAGGAACAGGGAACAUGUAAAGGAAACCCAUCAAAACAACAGCUGAUUCCCAGUGGAAGUUGUAAAAGGCAGAAGAGUCUGGACCAGGGUACUUCAAGGUCUAAAAGACCAUGGAUACCAACUUACAGUACUGUACCCAGCAUAACUUCCUGCCAUAGUUGAAGGAAAGAGGAAAAUGCUCUGUGGUAUAAACACGCCAAAAGAAUUCAUGCCCACCAAACUGGUCCUAGAGAGGAUACCAAAAGCAAUUCUUUAGACUGAAGAGAGGAAAAAGGACAAGGAAGACAAGUGAAGCUGUAAUUGCUGAAGCACAAAAGAGGAUGAAUGCAAAGAGCAAACCAGGAGCCAGCACACACCUUAAACCAGAACCAGGAGCCAGCACACACCUUAAACCAGAACCAGGAGCCAGCACACACCUUUAACCAGAACAAGGUUUUAAUAAUAUCCUUAGCUCCCCAGUCAAGAAACACUGGUUUGUUGAAUGGAUUGAGAACAAAGAUUUAAAGAUCGGGGCCACCUUAAAGCACAAGGAUAGAAAAAAGUAUCCCAAGCAAGUGCAAAGAGGAAGGAAGCAGGUGUCACUCACUACCUUUUUUUUUUUUUUUUUUUUUUUUGAGACUGUGUCUUCCUACUCAGUCCUAGCCUGCUAUAUAAACCAGGUGGGCCUUGAACUCACAAAGAUCUGCCUGCUUCUUCCUUCCAAAUGGUGGAAUUAAGGACAAGGAGUCUUUGUUUUAAUCAAGAGAACAAUUGACCAUGAAUACAUUACAGUUCUGUAUGCACCAAGCUCUAGAACACCCAAUUUCAUAAGAAACAUGCCACUGAACUUAAAGACACAGAUUACUCCAGUUCCGUAUUAGUGGGUGAUUUCUGUACCCCACUUUAUCCAGAAUACAGGCCAUCUGAACAGCAACAACAAAAAAGAAUAGAGAUAUCAGAUUUAAGUGAUGUCAUACAGCAAAUGGAGCUAACAAAUAUGUACAAAAUGUUUGACCCAAACACUAAAGAAUAUACAUUCUACACAGCAGGCCAAAUACCCAAAAUAGAUCAUAUUGGCCAGGAGGUGGUAGUCCAUACCUUUAAUUCAAGCACUCAGGAGACAGGGGCAAGCAAAUCUUGAGUUUGAGAUCAGAGUGGUCUACAGAAUGGGUUCUAAGAUAGCCAAGGAUACCCAGAAAAACCCUGUCUCAAAAAAUGAAAAUAAUAAACUAGAUCACAUAAUUUGACACAAAACAUAUCUUAAGUUCAGAAAAUUGAAAAAUUUUAAUAUAUUUUAUCAAGCCACAAUGCAAUAAAGCUUCAAAUCAAUAGCAAACAAAUUCCUGGUAAUUAUAUAAAUUCAUGAAGAUUGAACAACACAUUACUAAAUAGUGAAUGGGUCAAAAAAGAAUCAAGAAAAAAUGUUUUAAUCCUGAAGUCAAAUACAACUAAAAACAACAAAACCUCUGGAUACAUAGAAUGGCAACCUAUGAGGCACUAACUACCUUAUUAAAAAUCAGAAAAAGCACAAAUAAAUGACUUAAUGAUGUAAUUCAAUGAUUUGUAAAAACAGGAACAAGUCUAAAUUGAGUAGAGUGGAAUACCUAGUAAAAACAACAUAAAUUAAUGAAAUUGGAAGAAAAAAAAUAUCAAUGAAUCUAAGAGCUGGUUCUUUGACAAGCCAUUGGCAGAUUCUAGCUAUCCAGCUAACCAAAAUCAAAAUAAACAAAAAUAAAGACGUGAUUCAAAGGAAUAGAAUUCAAGUUGAACUGGAACCAUCAUGGCACCAAUGAAAUCCAGUCCUGUAGAGGAGUACUUUAAAAACCUAGUCUCCAUUAAGUUAGAAACUAGAAGAAGUGCACAAGGCACGCAUGUGGUGCACACACAUGCAAGCAAAACAUUCAUGAAUUUUAAUUUAAAAAAGGAAUGGAUGGAUUUCUAGAGUAAUCCAAACUACCAAAGUUUAAGAAAGUGACAACCUAAACAGACCUAUAACAUUAUACCACCAGUGCCUCCUAAGCAGACCUGUCACAAGGAAGGAGAUUGGAACAGUAAAAAAAAAAAAAAAAAAACCCAGGCCCAGAUAGAUUCACAGGAAAAUUCCACCAGAUUUUCACAGACCUACAGCCAAUACUAAAAAAUAAACAAAAAACCAGAAGGAACAUUUUUAAUGCCAAAAACCAUGUAGGCAACAACAACAAUAUCUCUGAUAUAGGCAAAUAUCUCUGAUGGACAUAGAUGCAAAAAUCUAAUAAAACACUGCAAGCCGAGUAUAGCCAUAUUAGUUCACCCAAGAAAGGACUGGAUGUAGGUGACGAACACUUGAGUCAUGAAAGAAGACAGUUAACUCUUCUUUCUAGUUUUACCUCUUUUGUGUGUGUGGUUAAGUGCAUAAAACAAUAUUUGAUGGUGAAAGUGGAAUCCAGUGUGAAGCUCCACAGCUUUCAUUGAGAUGGAUAAACUUUGGGUCUGGUUAAUUUCACUGUAUGAUGUUUUUUAUAAGUUUUUUUGUAAUAAAACUUUUCCUUUUGUUAUUGCUGCUGUUGUUAUUUUGAGACAGGUUUUCUCUGUGUAGCCCUGGCUGUCCUUGAACUCACUGUAGACCAGGCUGGCCCCAAACUCAGCGAUCUGCUUUCCUGACUCCUAAGUGCUCAGAAUCAAGGCCUGCACCACCACCCAAAUGGCUUUGUAAUGAAAUAUUAAUAAUAAAAAGAUUUAUUAUGAUUAUAAUAAAAGAUAUAUAUGACAAGCCCACAACUAAGAUCAUCCUAGAUGAAAAGUAUGAAGAAAUCCCACAUUUCGAGCUGUAUUACAAAGAUAGAGCAAUGAAAAUAGUCUUGUACUGGCACAAAAGCAGAUGUGCGUCCAUGGAACAAAACAGACUCAAACAUGAGUGCACAUGACUACAGCCAGCUAAUAUCAAACAGAGGUCCCAAAAAUACACACUAGAGAAAGGACAGCAUCUUCAGCAGACAAGGACUGGAAAACUGGACGCCCACAUGAACAAGAAUGAAAUUAGACCCAUGUCCAUCCCCAUGCACAAAAAUGAGCUCCAAAUGGAUCAAGACCUCAGUACGAAACCUGAAACUUUGAGAUGGCUGAAGAAAGCAUAGUCCACAUCCUCCAGGUUAGAGCUGUAGGGAACUCUCUGGAUAGGGCUCCCUUUGCUCAGGAAUUAAGACCAACAAUUUAUGAAUAGGAUCUUAUAAAACCACAAAGCUUCUGUACUGCAAAGGAAACCAAAAAUAAGCUCACAGGGUGAGAUAAGACCUUAUCUGGUAGACAAUUAAUAUCCAGGAUAUACAGAAAAACCAAAAUAACCUACUUUAAAGAGUUAUGUAGAUCUAGACUUUCUCAGAAAAAAAAAUGGUUUUAAAAAGUAUUCAGUAUCUUUAGCAAUGAGGGAAGUUCACACCCAGAGCACUGGACUCAGCUCCCAAGUCGUGAAGGCUAGGGCCGUCGUUUCCUCCUUUUAUCCUAUUUUUGUUUGGUUUCCCAGACAAGGGCUCACUGUGCAGCUGUAGUUCUGACUGAUCUAGAACUUGCUGGGUAGUCUAGGGUGGCCUCGAGCCCAGCAUAGACCCACCUGUCUGUAUCGCUGGCAGUGUAUGAAAUGUGUACGUCACCGUCCUUGGCUCCUUAGGAAAAAGUGUGUAUGGGUGUGGGUUUUUUAAAAAAA